GAUGAACGCUGGCGGCGUGCUUAACACAUGCAAGUCGGACGGGAUCCAUCAAGCUUGCUUGGUGGUGAGAGUGGCGAACGGGUGAGUAAUGCGUGACCGACCUGCCCCAUACACCGGAAUAGCUCCUGGAAACGGGUGGUAAUGCCGGAUGCUCCAGUUGAUCGCAUGGUCUUCUGGGAAAGCUUUCGCGGUAUGGGAUGGGGUCGCGUCCUAUCAGCUUGACGGCGGGGUAACGGCCCACCGUGGCUUCGACGGGUAGCCGGCCUGAGAGGGCGACCGGCCACAUUGGGACUGAGAUACGGCCCAGACUCCUACGGGAGGCAGCAGUGGGGAAUAUUGCACAAUGGGCGCAAGCCUGAUGCAGCGACGCCGCGUGAGGGAUGGAGGCCUUCGGGUUGUAAACCUCUUUUAUCGGGGAGCAAGCGAGAGUGAGUUUACCCGUUGAAUAAGCAC
rnacentral:rRNA from 1 species